rnacentral:rRNA from 1 species
CAUCUAGGCGGUCAAUCAAGUCGAAGGUGAAAACUUGUGGCUCAACCAUAAGCUUGCCUACGAAACUGAUUAACUAGAGUACCGGAGAGGUGGACGGAACUACACGAGUAGAGGUGAAAUUCGUAGAUAUGUGUAGGAAUGCCGAUGAUGAAGAUAGUUCACUGGACAGAAACUGACGCUGAAGUGCGAAAGCUAGGGGAGCAAACA